AAGAAAGCCUUAUCCAAUAAAUUUUUUAAUCCAUUCUCAUGAGAAAAUUAUAGUACAUUUAAUUAUGCUAAUCAAAAUUAGCCACGGCGAAGACAUAAUUUGGCCCUGUAGUCCAUUUUCAUAUCUUAAGAAAACUUUAAAAUCAAAAUGAGAUUACCGUACAUCAAAAGUAGCAAACAGGAAGAAAAUAGCAUUCCAGUUUUUUUUUUAAAACAGUCAACUAUGAUUUAGUGAGAGUGAUACAUGAACAAGCCGACAAUAAGCAAAGAUUUAUUCAACUUUAGCGAAGAAAUUCGAGUUUAGAAUGAGGAGAACUUGGAAUGAGGAGCAACCUAGAGAAGCCGAUUUAGGAUACUCAAGGUUUUCUCUAGAGCUCAACUCUUCCUACUCUCAUUCUCAUUGAAUCCACAGUCAAUCUAAUAAGGGAGACAACUUACUAUUUAAUCUAGAAUCGGCAGGAUUCUAUGAGAAACUAUUAUAACCCACUAAUCACACAGUUAAAUAGAUUGAGUGGACAAACGCCUGAAACAAAUAGUAAAUGGAUUAAGUAGUUAGAAGUGGAGAUAAGAAAAAUGGGAUGCCCUGAACCAAAACAGUAAACCAGAAGAUGAACUAAGGCAAGAAUGCUUAGAAGAAUAAUGAUCACGAUGAUGUAAUCCUUAAGCCUGAACCAGUAAACUAACAAAUCCAUGCGAAAUCAUUCUAUUCCAAUUUAAUAGACCAAAAUCAGGGUAAUCUAAAAAAGAGUUGUAACAAUGAUCCGAGCAAACAAAUGAAUUAAUUCUAGCAUAUGUCGAUUUCUAUCAAAAUAGAUGCAUAGCUAUCUAACAUCAACAAUACGAGACAGAGAACUCAGGCCAUAUAAACCAAAAUAAUGAAACCAUCAAUAGAACAUGGAUUUUAUCAUGAAUUUGGUUCGACCAUAUCAAGAAAAAACCUACAGCCUUCCAAGGCUUCUACAGCCAUUCAC
rnacentral:lncRNA from 1 species